rnacentral:lncRNA from 1 species
GACCCGCGGCCCACGGCCGAGGCCGGCGCCCGCGGUUGCGGCUGUGGAUCAACCACCGGUAUUUUUUUUUUAUAUUCUUCCUCUUCCUCUCUUAUUCUUUUUCUUCCUCCCCUGCUUUCUUCUCCCGUGGAGUGGAGAUCGGACUCGGGGAGGGCCUGAGCCACAGCCGGCGGCGCUCCCCGGCCGGUCAGCGACACCGGCCGCGCCUGCGGCCGCAACUGGUGCUCGCGGCCGACGGCCUGCAGCCGCCGUGGCCUGUGACCGACGCUGCUCGGCCACCCCGACCGACGCCUGUCUUUUUUUUUUUAAUCUCUAAGCUAGAUCUUAAAAAAAAUAAAUGAAGAAGGGCUUUACCUGCUUUGAAGGAGAUCGUUCGUCUCCUACUCCGGCGAUGCAGCCCUCUGCUCCGACGGCGUGGGUCUAACACCGGAUCCUGCCAACCGUGAAGGUUUGUGAGAGAGGGAGACAAACAGUGGAGGAGGAGGAUGAACGGGUGGUGAAAUGGUAGCCGAUCGGGGCUUCUUGUAGCCUCGAUCACUGGGAAGGCGGACGGUUGUAACCGCCCACCAUCAGGCGUUACGAAUGCCUGCACGAUGGUGUAAUGCCCUUCCCCCCUCCGUUUCUCUUGGAUGUGGGGCGGUUAUCACAUUCUCUCCUCCUUAUUAGAAUUUCGUCCUCGAAAUUUACAUACCUAUAUUCUCAAAGAGUUGCGGAUGUCUUGCUCGCAUAUCUUCCUCAAGUUCCCAUGUGGCCUCUCUCUCCGAAUGGUUGCUCCUCUGAACUUUCACAUAGGGGAUGAUACGUCGCCUCAGGACCUGCUCCUUAUGAUCAAUGAUGCGUAAAGGAUACUCUUCAUAAAUCAGGUCUCUAUCAAUCUA